rnacentral:hammerhead_ribozyme from 1 species
AUUCAGCUGACGAGUCCCAAAUAGGACGAAACGCGCUUCAAACUAGAU